AAGAUCUUGGAGAUUAACUAGUCCAACCCCAUUUUAUAGAAGAGAAAACUGAGUCCCAGAGAGAGGAAAUGAUCUUUGUCAGAGGUCUACUAGCUACGGAUGAGAUGUGGCAAACAUUUCCGCCUGCCUUUCUUUACUGCUCUAGCUCGUUGGAGCCCCCAGUCACAUGUUCCCCAAUAGAAAUCAGCCCAGCAGCAACCUCCAAGCACACACACUGUUUCUUAAAGCAUCUAGUCAUUGGCUCCCUAGAUUACGUCUGUGGAGUCUGUUCUCCCUCUCCUGUGACCUGCCCCAGGCCUGUUCUUGGUGAAGCUCUUAAUUCUUCAUUGUCAUUAAGUAUUUGAAGGUCUUGCAUGUGGAAGAGGGUUUAUACUUGUUCUGCCUGACUCCAGAAGGCGGUGCUGGAAACAAUAGGAUAUAGAGUGCUUCCUUGGUUCUACUGUAGCAUCAAAGCGUAAAACAAAGAACACUGCUCCCGGAGAGGAAGGUGAAGAAGACUUGAGUGAGACCCAGUUUGUAGAUUCCCCCACUUCAAGAAGAAAGGCUUUUCUUGAAUUUUGCUUUGAACCGGACCUCUGGUCCUCUGGUGAACCUGGGGCCUAUUGCUGAAAACAAGAUGGAAGUACCAUUUACAUGAAGAAAGUCCAAGUGAGCUUUGAGCCAAAAUGUUUCUCAAGUGAGGCGGAAGAAGAGAGAAGGGAGGAAAAUUGGAAGCAUGGGAAAAGAGGAGGCUAGGAGAACAGGAUUGGAAUGUCCCACAAGACAAUGUGGCAACAGAUCCCAAGAACUGCCACCUGGAGAAAGCCCCUCUCCACUCUGAAAGAAAAAAGGCCCAAAGAAGAAAGGAAACCAUGCAUCUCUCUCCUUUCUUUUCAGAGGAAGAAAACUGGGAUGCCACAGAUAAAGAAGAAGAUGGAGUAAGGGAUAAAGAAGGCACCUGUGAAAGAAGAGAAGAACCAAGAG